rnacentral:tRNA from 1 species
GCAAAUAUAGUUUAACAAAAACAUUAGAUUGUGAAUCUAAAAUUAGGAGUUUA